CAGCCGCCACGGUAAAACCGAGGGUGCAAGCGUUAAUCGGAAUUACUGGGCGUAAAGCGCGCGUAGGUGGUUUGUUAAGUUGGAUGUGAAAGCCCCGGGCUCAACCUGGGAACUGCAUCCAAAACUGGCAAGCUAGAGUACGGUAGAGGGUGGUGGAAUUUCCUGUGUAGCGGUGAAAUGCGUAGAUAUAGGAAGGAACACCAGUGGCGAAGGCGACCACCUGGACUGAUACUGACACUGAGGUGCGAAAGCGUGGGGAGCAAACAGGAUUAGAUACCCCAGUAGUCCCUGUCUCUUAUAA
rnacentral:rRNA from 1 species